GACGGAGGAUGCAAGCGUUAUCCGGAAUGAUUGGGCGUAAAGCGUCCGCAGGUGGCAGUUCAAGUCUGCUGUCAAAGACCGGGGCUUAACUUCGGAAAGGCAGUGGAAACUGAACAGCUAGAGUAUGGUAGGGGCAGAGGGAAUUCCUGGUGUAGCGGUGAAAUGCGUAGAGAUCAGGAAGAACAUCGAUGGCGAAGGCAGCUCGCUGGGACGUAACUGACGCUGAGACGCGAAAGCGUGGGGAGCAAACAGG
rnacentral:rRNA from 1 species